UACGUAGGCAGCGAGCGUUGUUCGGAGUUACUGGGCGUAAAGGGUGUGUAGGCGGUUCUUUAAGUUUGGUGUGAAAUCUCCCGGCUCAACCGGGGGGGUGCGCCGAAUACUGAGGGACUCGAGUGCGGGAGAGGAAAGUGGAAUUCCUGGUGUAGCGGUGAAAUGCGUAGAUAUCAGGAGGAACACCGGUGGUGUAGACGGCUUUCUGGACCGUAACUGACGCUGAGACACGAAAGCGUGGGUAGCAAACAGG
rnacentral:rRNA from 1 species